AUUGAACGCUGGCGGCAGGCCUAACACAUGCAAGUCGAACGAGUGGCGGACGGGUGAGUAAUGUCUGGGAAACUGCCUGAUGGAGGGGGAUAACUACUGGAAACGGUGGCUAAUACCGCAUACCAUCGGAUGUGCCCAGAUUGGAUUAGCUAGUCGGUGGGGUAAAGGCUCACCUAGGCGACGAUCCCUAGCUGGUCUGAGAGGAUGACCGGCCACACUGGGACUGAGACACGGGCCAGACUCCUACGGGAGGCAGCAGUGGGGAAUAUUGCACAAUGGGCGCAAGCCUGAUGCAGCAAUGCCGCGUGUAUGAAGAAGGCCUUCGGAUUGUAAAGUUCUUUCGGCGGGGAGGCGUUACCCACAGAAGAAGCACCGGCUAACUCCGUGCCAGCCGCCGCGGUAAUAC
rnacentral:rRNA from 1 species